AUGUAAUAUAGACAAGUAACAUUACUUCAUUUCACUGAUAACUAACAAGAGCAAUAACGAAAGCACUGCUGACACUGACCAUCUUGGCGGUUGAGGAUCCUCACUCAGUCUGUCAGCGAGUUGACCGUUCACACCUAUCGGCGACAAGAGAUCGGAAAUGGAAACACAGCACAUGCAACUCACGAUGCACAUGGUUUGGGGAAGACCUUUUCCUGUUCCAGCAUGACAAUGCCCCCGGGCACACAGUGAGGUCCAUAUAGAAAUGUUUUUUUCAAGUACCGUGUGGAAGAACUGGCCUGCACAGAGCCCUGACCUCAGGCAGUGGAAGGAAUGUGUCAGGGCCUCCGCCCUCUCACUCUCCUUCUUUGAAGGGAUUAUAGGGAGAUGAAUUAUCCAUUCCGAAAUCAUGGUGGACCCACUCCCUGUCUCAGCUGAAUCAGCUGCACGUACACAGCGUUAUGUCGUCAGUCGCACACGAUGCACCCAGAGUCUCGCAAGCAGGCACAGACAUCUGAAGCACUUCUGCUUUCUCAGUUGCCAAAUCUUGUAUUUCUUGCUCUGAUAUGGAAGCAAACACAUUUGUUCAUGGAGAUUUCUGCUAUCAAUUGUAACAAAGCAGAUGGAAGCUUGGCUUUAAAAUCUAUAUAAGUAACUGAAAUAUCCUUGCACCAUCAAUAGAAACACAUGUCUACUAUUAU